GAUGAACGCUGGCGGCGUGCCUAAUACAUGCAAGUCGAGCGAACAGACGAGGAGCUUGCUCCUCUGACGUUAGCGGCGGAAGUGUGAGUAACAUGAGGAUCACCUAACUAUAAGACUAGGAUAACUUCGUGAAACCGGUGCUAAAACCGGAUAAUUUAUUAAACCUCAUGGUUGAAUAGUGAAGGCGGUUUUUGCUGUCCUUUAUGGCUGUCUCCGCGCCGCAUUGGUUGUUUGGUAAGGUAACGGCUUACGAAGGCAACGAUGCGAGGCCGACCUGAGAGGGUGAUCGGCCACACUGGAACUGAGACACGGUACAGACUCCUACGGGAGGCAGCAGUAGGGAAGCUUCCGCGAUGGGCGAAAGCCUGACGGAGCAACGCCGCGUGAGUGAUGAAGGUCUUCGGAUCGUAAAACUCUGUUAUUAGGGAAGAACAAAUGUGUAAGUAACUAUGCACGUCUUGACGGUACCUAAUCAGAAAGCCACGGCUAACUACGUG
rnacentral:rRNA from 1 species